UACGAAGGGGGCUAGCGUUGUUCGGAUUCACUGGGCGUAAAGGGUGCGUAGGUGGCUUGACAAGUUUGAUGUGAAAUCUCCGGGCUUAACCCGGAAAAUGCAUUGAAUACUGUAGAGGCUUGAGGUUUGGAGGGGGGAUUGGAAUUCUCGGUGUAGCAGUGAAAUGCGUAGAUAUCGAGAGGAACACCAGUGGCGAAGGCGAGUCCCUGGACCAACACCUGACACUGAGGCACGAAAGCCGGGGGGAGCAAACAGG
rnacentral:rRNA from 1 species